AAUUUUUUUAAUAUGCUAGACCACUGGUUUUAAUUGAUUAAUAUCAAUUUCUACCCUCAUUAAUAAAUUUUAAAUAAAUAAUAUAUGUUCUCUAACCAGUUAAAUUAGCUGCAGAAAUUAAUUAACUGCAGAAUUAUUUCCGGACUUAGCGCGCCAGAUUUGAAGACAUUUGAUAGGAUACGCUGAAUGUAAUCGCAGAACUCUACACGUGUUCACUUACGGGUGGAUGGCUUGUGUCUAGUUCUGUGUAUUGCAUCUCAAAGAGACAAACUUACCCUGACGAUCCUGCAGAUAUUUACUUAUGUAAAUUUUAACAGGUGAAACCAUGAAUCACUAAGUGUAUUACUAACAAUUCAUACACAUCAAUAUGAAAAAUAAGAGGUAACUGUACAACAAAAGAAUAGACUUUUAACAGCACUUCCUCAGAUGACGUAAAGUCUGAAGAAGAAGAACUGCAACCUUCGUAUUCCAUUGUGAAGGUAUGAACCUAUGAAGUUCAUUCAUCAAACAAGAGGGAAGACGUCGAACAAUACCGACGCAAGACAGCAAAACACACGUGAUCCACACAAAGACAGCAGUUCAACAGCAAUCAACAAGACGAUUACCAAACGCUCUUUCUGACUACUACCGACCACUACUCUUUAUAAGAGUUCGGCUAGUCCAUUCUCCAAUCCGCCAGGGAUGUCAAUGACUCUCGCUACAAGGAGGCUAAUGCUGACGACAUAGAAAUAAGAAUCCGCAGUAUGGUGGACGCCAUAGCCACUCAUAAUGAAAAGGUGUAUAGGUAAAACGUCCCAGUGAAAACCUCAAUAAAAUGUAAACACCACAAGCCAGAUAUAAUGAUUUGGGAUACGGAAGGGAAACUGUGUACAGAUAUAUAAAUCAGCUGGCCAGUGGAUGUUAGCAUAAAGCUAAAAGGAGAAUACCUACAUUGAACUAUUGUGAAAUCUUCAGGUACUCUAGACAUAUUAUAAGUUCAGGUUUAUAACAAUAAUUAUUGGUGAACUGGGAUAAGUACCACACUGCCUAUAAACCAAUCUUGAGAAAUUUGGCCUCUCAAAACCAGAAAGGAGAAAACUGAUUCGAAGACUACAGAUCCAAGCCAUUACUGAAACUGAAGACUGUAAAUAUUUCCAGAAGUUUAUCAUUUAAGUAUAUAUGAGCAUGUCUAGAUGUGCAACUAUAUGCAUGAGAAUACAUACAUAAAACAAAACAUACAAAUUUGCAUACAUACAUAUAUGAAUACAUACUGUAACUGUAGAUCACGAAACUAUUGUAUUCUAAAUAAUAACUCUCUGGAAAAAGAAUUUUUAUACUUAGCCAAAAUCCUGAACCGCAACGGAGUAACAAAGAUGUGCCUCGGAAUGACGGCAGCUCAAUCAAGGAAAGAUACACACACGCACACACACCUGGCGUCAUUCAGAGACACAAACAAAAGAGAUGUGACAACCAUAUCCUAUAUGAUAUGGACAUUGAAAGCAGGAGAAUUAAGCAACCCCCAAAUAACAUGGGGUAUUAUUGCAAAAACCAGAAAAUACAGAGUGCAGGGUACCAAAUGUGAGCUCUGUAUUAUUAAACAGAUAAAUAUCAUCCAGUCAACAGGUGACAGCGUAAAUACACAAGCAAUAUUUUAUACUCAGAUAUUUCAAACAGGAAGCAUCACCCACUUCACCAAUCUCACCAAGAUAAUUUGUUUCUCUGAACGGGAACAUUGAAUAUAUAUACAACAUACGAACUUCACGCAUAGAAGAUGCAUGCCCCUAUGAGGAACUCCCUCAACAAAGAAACAUAUGAACAUUAUAUAUAUCCAGAAUAUAAUAUAAUGCAAACAAAUUCAUCAUCCAACACAGUUUUGUCGCAGAAGUUAAAACGAAGGGAGAUAAUCACUGAAAAGCUGUCGUUCAAGAGUAUGACCCCUUGAAAUCUUAUUGUCUCUGCGAGAGUUAUUCGUGAAUUCCUGAGAUUUUUCGUGUGCACAUCGAAAAUGAAGAUGAACACCAUUACUUCAUGCGAUCUGUUUGAACAAUUCUUAAGAUGUUAAGAUAUUUUUUUCUAGCAUGAAACUAAUGGUAUACACAAAUAAAGAAAUUUUAUCUAGCAAUGCGGUGCU